UCCAGCUCCUCAACCGCUAGUCGAGCCCUCCUGACAUCGCGUCGCGUGCCAAAGCUGACGCCGCACAAAAGCAACUGAAAGCCAAAGCAAAGCGGCCACCACCUCCCCUCCCCUCCCCUCCCUUCCCUCCUCCCGUCACGCCGAAGCCAAGCGCAAACAGCCAUUGCUGAUUCCUCUCUCGUCUCGUCUCAUCCCCUUCUCUAAAAUGAGAAAUCUAGUAGUCUAGUACUACUAUAGAAGUCACUCGCGCACCCAACCACCACCCACCCGUGCUCGAGAGGCACCCACGGAGCCCAUGCCGCCGCGCGCCGCGGUCGCCUCGCAGCAGGGCGACUGCUGCAGCCACGGGCCGGGCCCCCACCGGCGCGGCAGCGGCGAACUCUCCGGCGAAGCGUCAUGCAGCUACCUGCCGUUGCGCAAGCGGCUGUCGGUGGACGGCAAGUGCCCGGCGCCGAGGAUAUGCAUCUGGGAGUGCGACGGCGAGGCUGGGGACAUCACCUGCGACAUCGUCGCCGCGCCGCUCCGCCGCAGCUGCAGCGCGAGGGCAAUGCCGUGGGCGCCGCCGCCGGCACCGCCCUUCCGCCGGAUGAUGACGCCGCCGCCGCCGCGGCCGAGGCAGCCGCAGAGGGAGGCAGGGGAGGUGGCGGCCAGGAGGCCCGGGGAGACCAUCUGCAAGGGACACCGGAGCUACAGCCUCAUGCUUAACCUGCAGCUUGGCAUAAGCUAUUCGGUGGGGAAGUCGUCGUCGCUGCCAUUCAGGAAGCUCUCGUCGUCGGACUUCGACCCGCGGGAGAAAGUGUGGACGCGGUUCCCGCCGGAGGGGUCCAAGCUCACGCCGCCUCAUCACUCCGUUGAUUUCCGGUGGAAGGACUACUGCCCCGCUGUAUUCAGACACCUGAGGAAGCUGUUCGGGGUGGAUCCUGCGGACUACAUGCUCGCCAUCUGCGGGAACGACACGCUCCGGGAGCUGGCGUCCCCGGGCAAGAGCGGCAGCUGCUUCUUCGUUACGCAGGAUGAUCGAUUCAUGAUUAAGACCGUGAAGAAGGCCGAAGUGAAGGUUCUAAUUAGGAUGCUGCGGAGUUACUAUGAGCAUGUUUAUCGAUACAAGUCCACUUUAUUGACAAGGUUUUAUGGCACACACUGCAUUAAGCAAGCUGGCUGCCUCAAGGUCCGGUUCAUUAUAAUGGGCAACUUUUGCUGCUCAGAUUAUAAGAUCCAUAGGCGCUUUGAUUUGAAAGGUUCCUCACAUGGUCGGACUAUUGACAAAGCCGAACAGAAGAUUGAUGAAACCACUACUCUAAAGGACCUUGACCUUGAUUAUGCAUUCCACUUGCAGAGAUUUUGGUAUGAGGAACUGAUGAAGCAAAUUCAGAUGGACUGCACAUUCUUAGAGGCACAAGGAAUUAUGGACUACAGCUUGUUGUUAGGAGUUCACUUCCGUAAUGAUUUCUCAAUGUCUAAGAUAGGCGUAUCUCAGUAUAUUGGUUUUCCAAAAUCCACCGGCAAAAGAAAAUCAUUUGAAGGUGGAGAUGAUGUUUGUGAGCUUUGCUUUAUGGAAUCUGGAUGCAAGGACAGAGAUUUGAUCAUCGACUCUCGGAAACCAUUGGCCCAGUUAGGUAUGAACAUGCCCGCCCAGGCAGAACGCAGGUCAAAGAAAAUACUCGACAAGUGUCUCCUAAAUGAAAGACACUUGUUCAUAACCAUGCCAAGUGGAGGAUCGCGGGAUGUCUACCUCUUCUUUGGAAUAAUUGACAUUCUUCAAGACUAUGACAUAACUAAGAAACUUGAGCAUGCUUACAAGUCCUUCCAGGUCAACCCUGGCCGCAUUUCUGCUGUAGACCCAAAGCUAUACUCAAGAAGGUUCCAGAACUUUAUUCGCAGAGUGUUCAUCCAAGAACAGUAAGAAAAUUGUAUAGGGUUAACUGGUGACUAUUCCACUGACUUUUUACAUCAUGGGAUCCAUUGGUGAAGUCUUGACUCUUGAGCAUGAUCGUAUGAUCCCGAGCGUGCCCGGAAACAGUGGAAAUGAUGGUUGGCAGUUUUCUGAAUAGUUGGCGUCAAGAGGCUCUGCCGACACGCAUGCUAAUGUUGAAAAGAUGUGAGCUAAACUAGAGUACCGCCUUUUCGAAGACUUAAAAAUCAUUUGCAGUUCAUCUUUUGCUUGCGCCUGCUCUGACCACAAUGGAGAGUUGGAGACUGGAUCACUGGAGAGAGGCAGUGCCACUUGCACUACCACCGUUGGCUCGUCGAACUGAAGAAAGAUAAAGUGGAGAAGUGGAAGGGAGGAGACAGGCAUCAAAAGGAGAGAAAGCAACUGCAGGGAGAUGCUGAGACAGAUCUGGUCUGCUUCUGUGACUUAUGUUAAGUGAUGCAUUUUUUUUUCUUCUGUCCUCGCUGUUGCAUGGCCUUUCCUCGACUUUGCUUUGUCCUACGCCAAGGCCUAGUCCAUUUCUUCUUCUCCCUCCUGUGCUCUUUUGUCAUGCUCUGCUUUGCUUGGAUCUACUAUAUGACCGGGCCAGCCUUCGGCAUGACUGGGGGAGCAGACCAGAUGGUCAGAACUUAUUUCUGCAGGUCAGGAUGAUGCAUGGUUCCUCAGUUAAUUUUACUAAAAAUACUGGAGUACAACCUAGGCCUGUGUUGCCGUAUGGUUCCUCUGUUAAUUUUACUGUGCCUGUGUUGUAUGUUUGAUAAGGGGCAUAUCAUGUGAAAGUGCUUUUGAAAGUUGAAAAUU